UUGCAUUGUAUUUGUUCUUGUCAGCUCUGAGCUGCUCCUUCCUUUUCCAGCUGUGGUUGCCUUCGUCCCCUCCUUUGCUGGGAUCGUGUGUGCCCUGAGUGCCCAAAGGAUCUGCAGCAGUGUGAGGUGCAGCACAGACUGGGGAUCCCUGCAGUGCACUGAAAACCAGCUGUGGGCAAAAGGAGCUCCAAAAACGUCCAGAUUCAGGUGCAGUCAGAGCCAGCCCUGAAUCACCAGUGCCCAGUCCCAGCUCUGGGAUGAAGGGACCUUCCUCUCCCCCAGGGCUCUCCCUGCACACCAGGGACUGGGGACACCCCUAGAUGGAGAGAAGUCUUAAUGCAGGCUGGACAGGAAGAGCCCCAGAGAAUGAACACAGGGGAAGACCUGUGUGCAUUCAGUGCUACAUGGGUGGAAUUUCUCCAAGCAGAGAGAUGACUUCUCCAAACUGGAUUCCUGGUAGUGAUCAGCAGCUCCAUAAAAGGUUUUCCAGCAGUCUGGGUUCCCAUGCAGACAAAUAGUUGCUUCAAGGGGAUAUUUGCAGGUGGAAGGUGUUCCCCAGGUUUUCCCGUGUUCAUUCUGAUUUCUUGCCCUGCUGAAGCCUGUCACGGUUGCAUGUCAGCCAUGAGCACAGGAGAAUGUCAGUCAGAUCCUGGAG